rnacentral:rRNA from 1 species
UACGUAGGGUGCUAGCGUUGUUCGGAAUCAUUGGGCGUAAAGCGCGUGUAGGCGGUCAGGCAAGUCAGAUGUGAAAUCCCUGGGCUCAACCGAGGAAGUGCAUCCGAAACUGCUUGGCUAGAAGACGGUAGAGGAAGGUGGAAUUCCUAGUGUAGAGGUGAAAUUCGUAGAUAUCUGGAGGAAUACCGGUGGCGAAGGCGGCAUCCUGGACCGGCAUUGACGCUGAUGAGCGAAAGCUAGGGGAGCAAACGGG